rnacentral:misc_RNA from 1 species
UAUGAAGAACGUAGCGAAAUGCGAUAAGUAAUGUGAAUUGCAGAAUUCAGUGAAUCAUCGAAUCUUUGAACGCAUCUUGCGCUCCUUGGUAUUCUGAGGAGCAUGCCUGUUUGAGUGUCAUUAAAUUCUCAACUACACUGACUUUGAAUUGGUGUGGCUUGGAUUUGGGGGGAAAAUUGUUGUGGGCUUUUUGUAUAGUCUGCUCCCCUGAAAUUGAUUAGCGGUACCUUUGUGGAACUGUCUACAGGUGUGAUAAUUAUCUACAUCUUAGACAUCUGCUGGAAUGCUGCUUUCUAAACCUUACUUGUAUUGACAAUCUUGACCUCAAAUCAGGUAGGACUACCCGCUGAACUUAAGCAUAUCAAUAGCGGAGGA